rnacentral:rRNA from 1 species
UACAGAGGGUGCAAGCGUUAAUCGGAAUUACUGGGCGUAAAGCGUGCGUAGACGGUAGCGUAAGUCGGGUGUGAAAGCCCCGGGCUCAACCUGGGAAUGGCAUUCGGGACUGCAAGGCUGGAGUGCGGCAGAGGAGACUGGAAUUCCUGGUGUAGCAGUGAAAUGCGUAGAUAUCAGGAGGAAUACCGAUGGCGAAGGCAGGUCUCUGGGCUGACACUGACGCUCAUGCACGAAAGCGUGGGGAGCAAACAGG